ACUCCUACGGGAGGCAGCAGUGAGGAAUAUUGGUCAAUGAGGGAACUCUGAACCAGCCAUCCCGCGUGUAGGAAGACGGCCUUAUGGGUUGUAAACUACUUUUAUACAGGAAGAAACGUACCCUCGUGAGGGUGCCUGACGGUACUGUAGGAAUAAGCACCGGCUAACUCCGUGCCAGCAGCCGCGGUAAUACGGAGGGGUGCGAGCGUUAUCCGGAUUUAUUGGGGUUUAAAGGGGUCCGUAGGCGGAUUAAUAAGUCAGUGGUGAAAUCCCAUCGCUUAACGAUGGAACUGCCAUUGAUACUGUUAGUCUUGAAUGAGGGUGCAGUGGUUGGAAUGUGUAGUGUAGCGGUGAAAUGCAUAGAUAUUACACAGAACACCGAUUGCGAAGGCAGAUCACUAACCCUAAAUUGACGCUGAGGGACGAAAGCGUGGGGAGCGAACAGGAUUAGAUACCCUGGUAGCGACUGA
rnacentral:rRNA from 1 species